rnacentral:rRNA from 1 species
UACGUAGGGCGCAAGCGUUAUCCGGAAUUAUUGGGCGUAAAGAGCUCGUAGGCGGUUUGUCGCGUCUGCCGUGAAAGUCCGGGGCUCAACUCCGGAUCUGCGGUGGGUACGGGCAGACUAGAGUGGUGUAGGGGAGACUGGAAUUCCUGGUGUAGCGGUGGAAUGCGCAGAUAUCAGGAGGAACACCGAUGGCGAAGGCAGGUCUCUGGGCACUUACUGACGCUGAGGAGCGAAAGCGUGGGGAGCGAACAGG